UUCCUUAAGGAUUAAAUCCUUUGCCCAAUCUGCUCAAGUAUACUCCCUUCAUCGUGCCUCUCUCUCUAUCCCAUUCUCAUCCCCAAAUUCUGAAACGAAUCCCUAGCUUAUUUUUCGAUCAGCGGCGGUUUUCCUCACGGCUCCUCCGGAGGAAUCGCCACCUGCGCUCCCUCUAUCCGGCGAACUCGCAUCCUGAGCGGCCUCCCUUAAUUCCGACGAAUUAAUCGGUGGAGGGGAGGCUUUGCCUCUGCCACGGCGUCGCUGUCUGGUGCCGUCGUUUCUGGCGGCUCGGGCUCACUCACCGGGAACACGCGGUUCCUCCACUGUCACCAUAGGUCCCGUGCCAUUCUCUCGUGCCGACCUCUGCUAUGCGCCCUCCGUCGGACGUUCUCUCUCUCGGCGAAGUCACCAAGAAAGGCGUCGCCUUUCUCCUUUGUCGAAAUCGCCGUCUCGACGAGUAGCCGCCGCUCAAGUUUAGCGGGGAGUCGCCCUCGUGCAGCACCGCAUCCGCCUCGCCCGCUGCUGCUCCGGCAGUGUCGCGGUCCGGCAGCCUCUCGGUCCAAAAGUGGAGGACUUCUUGGAAGGCGUGGCUGCUCCAUGCUUGGAGCGUAGCACUUUGUGAAAAACGAGGGGCAGGAAUGGAGGAUUUGCCUAGCUCACUCCCUUUGUAAUUUACUAUAAUUAGGAAAUCUUCUCCCCUUAUUUUGUGAUGAAUCUUGUAAAGUGGAAGCUUCCUUCUUUGUUUGUCAAGAUAGGGGUCUUAGUGUAGUGUGUAUUGUCCCUUUCAUUAAGUGUGAUCAAGUUCAAGGCUUGGCUCCUCAAGACCUCUUGUAUUACUUUGCUAUUUCUUUCUCAUAAGUAGCCAUGUAUUAUUCGCAUCUCCAUCAUUCUUGUAUUUAUUAUUUUUUUGUACUCUUCAAAGUGCCUAUCUAAUAAAAGUAUAUCCUCUACUUUUAUUCUUGAAUAAUUUUACAUACACUUUGUUUC